rnacentral:tRNA from 1 species
GCCAGUGUAGCUCAGUGGUAGAGCAGCUCAUUCGUAAUGAGCAGGUCGUCGGUUCAACCCCGACCACUGGCU